AUUGCACAUGGCUUGAAGUCCAUGCAAGUGCACGACUCCAACUCAUGCCAAUAUAUUCCAUUUCAAGUGUUUAUUUUUAAUAGAUUUUUGUGCGAAAACGAUAAGUAAACGGUUUUAAACUCAUAGUACUAAUCAAUCAGGAAGGCAUUAAAGUACGGCGUUUAAACUGAUUAAAAGCAGAAGAAUAUACAUAACAUCUCAAAGCCGUUUCGAAGCAUAUAAAAAGACAAAUUAAAGAAAAGUGCUUUACAAAACGCACACAUAACUUCUAGCAGAAAAGCCGCAAUUCCAAAAACUCGUUUGAGGAUACGAAAAAUUGUAAUUCUAUUAAAAAUCUCCAGUCAACAAAAACACUUGGAAUUUAGUGUGCAGCGAAAGCAGCUACUACGGACGGAAGGAGGAAAAAGCAGUGAACGUCGUAAAAAGCAGUGUAAAUAAAGAACUCCAUAAACAUGUCUGGGGAGGAAACGUCUGCUGAUCGCAAUGUCGAAAUUUGGAAAAUCAAGAAACUCAUCAAGAGUUUGGAGAUGGCACGAG